UCCGAGUUGACCCCGGCAGUCUCCCAUGAGUCCCCGGCAUCAUCCGCUGGCAACAUGGAACGAGGGUUGCGCUCGUUGCGGGACUUAACCCAACAUCUCACGACAUUCCUGUGCAUGUCAAGCCCUGGUAAGGUUCUUCGCGUCGCGUCGAAUUAAUCCACAUGCUUCGCUGCUUGUGCGGGCCCCCGUCAAUUCCUUUGAGUUUUAGCCUUGCGGCCGUACUCCCCAGGCGGGGUGCUUAAUGCGUUAGCUUCGGCACGGACGGAGUCGACACCGCCCACACCUAGCACCCAUCGUUUACAGUGUGGACUAC
rnacentral:misc_RNA from 1 species